rnacentral:rRNA from 1 species
CUACGGGUGGCAGCAGUGAGGAAUUUUGCGCAAUGGGGGCAACCCUGACGCAGCAACGCCGCGUGAGUGAAGAAGGCCUUUGGGUCGUAAAACUCUGUCAAUGGGGAAGAAGUUACUAUGUUUAAAUAGAGUGUAGUAUUGACGGUACCCAUGAAGGAAGCACCGGCUAACUCCGUGCCAGCAGCCGCGGUAAUACGGGGGGUGCAAGCGUUAUUCGGAAUUAUUGGGCGUAAAGGGCACGCAGGCGGUCUUGCCAGUCAGAUGUGAAAGCCCGGGGCUCAACCCUGGAAGUGCAUUUGAAACUACAAGACUUGAGUACGGUAGAGGAAAGGGGAAUUCCUGGUGUAGAGGUGAAAUUCGUAGAUAUCAGGAGGAACACCGGUGGCGAAGGCGCCUUUCUGGACCGAAACUGACGCUGAGGUGCGAAGGCGUGGGUAGCGAACAGGAUUAGAUACCCGCGUAGUC